GACGACCGGCGCACGGGUGAGUUACGCGUAUGCAACCUGCCCAUAGCUGGAGAAUAGCCCGAAGAAAUUCGGAUUAAUACUCCAUAAUAUUUCAAAUUCGCAUGUUUUUGAAAUUAAAAUUCCGAUGGCUAUGGAUGGGCAUGCGUGCCAUUAGCUUGUUGGUGAGGUAACGGCUCACCAAGGCUACGAUGGCUAGGGGUUCUGAGAGGAUGAUCCCCCACACUGGUACUGAGACACGGACCAGACUCCUACGGGAGGCAGCAGUGAGGAAUAUUGGUCAAUGGGCGCAAGCCUGAACCAGCCAUGCCGCGUGCAGGAUGACUGCCCUAUGGGUUGUAAACUGCUUUUGUACAGGAAGAACCUUCUGCUCGUGAGCGGAAUUGACGGUACUGUACGAAUAAGCAUCGGCUAACUCCGUGCCAGCAGCCGCGGUAAUACGGAGGAUGCAAGCGUUAUCCGGAUUCACUGGGUUUAAAGGGUGCGUAGGCGGGAUAGUAAGUCGAUGGUGAAAGCCUGCAGCUUAACUGUAGAAUUGCCAUUGAUACUGCUAUUCUUGAGUGCAGUUGAAGUAAGCGGAAUGUGUAAUGUAGCGGUGAAAUGCAUAGAUAUUACACAGAACACCAAUUGUGAAGGCAGCUUACUAAGCUGAAACUGACGCUGAGGCACGAAAGCGUGGGGAGCGAACAGGAUUAGAUACCCUGGUAGUCCACGCUGUAAACUAUGAUCACUCGCUGUUGGCGAUACACUGUCAGCGGCUAAGCGAAAGCAUUAAGUGAUCCACCUGGGGAGUACGUCCGCAAGGAUGAAACUCAAAGGAAUUGACGGGGGCCCGCACAAGCGGAGGAACAUGUGGUUUAAUUCGAUGAUACGCGAGGAACCUUACCUGGGCUUAAAUGCAGAACGACCGGUCGGGAAACUGACCUUCCUUCGGGCGAACUGCAAGGUGCUGCAUGGUUGUCGUCAGCUCGUGCCGUGAGGUGUCGGGUUAAGUCCCAUAACGAGCGCAACCCCUAUUGUUAGUUACCAGCGAGUAAUGUCGGGGACUCUAACGAAACUGCCGGUGUAAACCGUGAGGAGGGUGGGGAUGACGUCAAAUCAGCACGGCCCUUAUGUCCAGGGCUACACACGUGUUUACAAUGGCCAGUACAAAGGGCAGCUACCACGCGAGUGGAUGCUAAUCUCUAAAGCUGGUCUCAGUUCGGAUUGAAGUCUGCAACUCGACUUCAUGAAGGUGGAUUCGCUAGUAAUCGCGCAUCAGCAAUGGCGCGGUGAAUACGUUCCCGGGCAUUGUACACACCGCCCGUCAAGCCAUGGGAGUCGGGGGUACCUGAAGUCCGUAACC
rnacentral:rRNA from 1 species